CACGUAGUUAGCCGGUGCUUCUUCUGCAGGUACCGUCACUUGCGCUUCGUCCCUGCUGAAAGAGGUUUACAACCCGAAGGCCGUCAUCCCUCACGCGGCGUCGCUGCAUCAGGCUUUCGCCCAUUGUGCAAUAUUCCCCA
rnacentral:rRNA from 1 species